GUAAGAUCUGAAAAAAGUUGUCGGUACGUAAUAUUUUGGAUAAUAUGUUAUCUUGAUUUAACCUUUUCGCCGCCACGUCAAUGAAGUAUUAACAAAGUGUCAACGCCAAGCCACAAAUUGCACGUAAACAAUCCGUAUACAUAUCAAGUCGUGGCGUGUGGGGCAUGAAAUGUACUGACUUUAUAUCAAGUCAAUGACGGCGAAAAGGUUAAAAGGCUGUUAAUACCUAUAACGCGCACACUGUCUAAUUGUAUCGGAGUAAAUGAGAUAGCACUGUCGCAUGUUACUGGGCCUGGGCAAAGGAAUAAUAAGAAAACUCAUCA